rnacentral:misc_RNA from 1 species
GUAGGUGAACCUGCGGAAGGAUCAUUAACGUGGGGCUCCGGCCCCGCCGAGAUAGAACCCUUGCCUUUUCGAGUACCGUAUGUUUCCUCGGCAGGCCCGCCUGCCAACGGGGACCCAACCACAAACCCUUGAACCACCCGUCACAGUCUGAGAAAACAAACAAAAAUCAAAACUUUCAACAACGGAUCUCUUGGUUCUG